UACGAAUGGAGCAAGCGUUGUUCGGAAUAACUGGGCUUAAAGCGUGCGCAGGCGGAUCAUAAAGUCAGAAGUGAAAUCCCAGGGCUCAACCCUGGAACUGCUUUUGAAACUCAUGAUCUAGAGUCCCGGAGGGGCCAGUAGAAUUCCAAGUGUAGAGGUGAAAUUCGCAGAUAUUUGGAGGAAUACCAGUGGCGUAGGCG
rnacentral:rRNA from 1 species